GUUGAUUUUAACCGACUGUAAUGUUUUAGGCUGACGUGAUAAACUCUUGCUCUAAUGGCAAACCAGUUAAAAAGCAGACCUGGGAGCAGCAAUACCAGCUUGUCACCCAACACUGCUUGCCUUGAGUAGGACAUUUAUUGACCAUGUGUCCAAGGGGGAUCCCAUCAGCAACCCAAGAGAGAAAUGCUGUUCAGAAAAAUCACAGGAUGAUGCUGUGCAGCUCUCACUUGUUCUGAGGACACCCAUGAUCUCCAUCAGUUUUCUCAGAAUUUCUGUGGAAAGUUGGAGGAAGAAGUUGAUCCCACAACAUGUUUGGCCUUGAGAUGGGGUUUUCCCUGGAAUGUCUGAAGGCACCAAAGUUUGCAGCACAUCUUCUGUGCAAUCUGGUCAGCCUGUGGAAACCGCAGAGUUACUCCUGUUUCUUUACCUGCUCCAAGGGAAGUGUUUCUGAGUCAGCAAAGGGAACCCAGCACAUUUUCCAUCACCCAGGAGGGAAUGCUCAGGAGAAAGACAGGCAAACCACUGAUGAGCCAGUAACAGUAAACAGGAGCAAGAGCAAAGUGGAGCAGCUUGGAAGGAAGGCCCAAGUGGACACCAAGAGGGAGAGCUGAGCACUCUCACUCUGGCAGUGGGAUCUACACUGGAGGCAUUGUGUCAUGAGAAAUACCAGAGAUAAGAAGUCCUGAAAAACCAUAAUUUGUGUGCAAGCUGACAUGUUUUGACAGCAUGGACAGGGAUGAAAAGACAGAGCAGCCCACGAGAGAGCUCUGUAGUGGUGGCAAUGGGAGUUAGUCCUUUCUCUCCCCAUCCAGGAUUCUGGGCAGUGGACUGGACAACAGCAUCUCUACUUCCCAAUUCAAACUGGACAAGGGAGCUGUGGUUCUAACCAGGCCAAGGUGCAUGUUAGGAAGUGAGAACAGGAGACUGUAAGCUCUUACCAGCAACAAGAAAAGGCUGUAGACAGCUUAGCAGCUAUCAGGACUGGAGAUGGAUGGGGGCAGAAUGCUGUGAGUGCUGCUGAUUCCUGCAGAAUUCCACUGGAAUGGGUAUUUCUGACUUAAGGGGAAAAAACCCUCCCUGUAAAGAAUAGGGUGGGUUUAGUUCUUAGGACAUUUAAUGAUGUACUGGCACAUAGUAACUGCACUAUAAAUAUAGUCUGAAAAAAUAUGAGCUUAGUUUGGAAGCUGCUCUCAGCGAAAUUAUGGGGUUUUGAUCCUGACCUAAACUGAUCCCACAUGUUCCUGUAUUCUCCCAAUGUUUGAGUGCACAGUAAAUCAACUGUAAUUUUUGCUUUUUAUUGCAAAGAAUGAACAGAAGAGAUUGGAAAUUAUAUGACUUUGGCAUAUGUUCAUCACGUGGUUCAGGAUUGUUUGAUAUCUUUUUGGGUUUAAGAUUUAAAUAAAGUGUAAAACAGGUACAGAGGAUCAAAACCUUUUAACUGGUAUUAGCUCAGAGAAAGCAGCCUGAGGUUCACCAGAGUGCUCAUUUCACAAACAUUCUGUGACUCUACAGAGAAGAAUGCACUGAUUUUACCAGUGGUAAUGUGCUCUGCUCACACAUACUGAGUGUGUGAAGAAAUAGUAUCACAGCAGGGAACAGUAAAGGAGGAGGAAGUAUCAAGUGACUUCUUUGGUAAUGAUACCCACUGCUUUAAGGCAACAGCCACUGUACCUCUGGAUUGUGGUGCACUCUCCUCUGAAAAAUGAGCAUGUUCAGUAUUCAUUCUUUUUCUGUCUCCUAAGGCCUUCUCUUCCCACUUUUUCACUCCUUGUUGUACCCACUUCAGGGGUGAUGCCGUAAACAAGAGUCUGCUCUGCAACAUGGAGUUUAGACUCCCCACUUCAAAACUCUUUGCCUUUCUGUUCUCAAACAUUUUUUUUGUCAUCUGAUCCCUACCCUCCAGUCUUUUUUAAGAUAUUCCAUAGUUUCUGUUGUUGUACCUUGUAACUUCUUCCUAU